rnacentral:rRNA from 1 species
AAGUCGUAACAAGGUCUCCGUUGGUGAACCAGCGGAGGGAUCAUUACCGAGUUUUCAACUCCCAAACCCCUGUGAACAUACCUCGACGUUGCUUCGGCGGGACCGCCCCGGUCGCCCCUCGCGGGCGGACCGGAACCAGGCGCCCGCCGGAGGACCACAAACUCUUGUUUCCUAAUAGUGGCAAUACUCUGAGUCUCACAAAAAAAUAAAUCAAAACUUUCAACAACGGAUCUCUUGGCUCUGGCAUCGAUGAAGAACGCAGCGAAAUGCGAUAAGUAAUGUGAAUUGCAGAAUUCAGUGAAUCAUCGAAUCUUUGAACGCACAUUGCGCCCGCCAGUAUUCUGGCGGGCAUGCCUGUUCGAGCGUCAUUUCAACCCUCAAGCCCCAGCGGCUUGGUGUUGGGGACCGGCCCCGCGCCGCCCCCGAAAUGCAGUGGCGACCUCGCCGCAGCCUCCCCUGCGUAGUAGCACAACCUCGCACCGGAGCGCGGAGACGGUCACGCCGUUAAACGCCCAACUUUCUUAGAGUUGACCUCGGAUCAGGUAGGAAUACCCGCUGAACUUAA